GGAUGUGAGGGUGAUCUGGCUGUGACAUCUGUCAGCCCAUCGAUCGCCAGUGUUGAUUCGGCUGAUCUGGUUUUCUAGGCGGGUGUCCCCUUCCUCCCCCACUCCAUGUGCGUCCCUCCCGAAGCUGUGCGCUUGGUCAAAGAGGACGACCUUCCCCAAUACAGGAGGACUUUCAGUCAAGGGUAUGUGAGUAGCUGCGCUCGCUGCUAGACCCUCCAAAGGAGCUCUCAGGGACCAUUUGUAGGAGAACGUGGGGGAGUCAAACUUCCAGAACUCCAGACACGUCCAGAUGAGGCGCUGCACACGGCAGUUUGCCUUUCUUU
ensembl:misc_RNA 7SK 7SK RNA